AAUCGACGACAUCAGCUGCUCCAUAAGUUCCCACACGAAUUGCUUGAUUCAUUGAAGAAGACGAUAAGAAGCAGCCCGAAAUUGGGUCUGUAGCUCAGUUGGUUAGAGCGCACCCCUGAUAAGGGUGAGGUCGGCAGUUCGAAUCUGCCCAGACCCACCAAUUUUGUGUGGGAAACGCCUGUAGAAAUACGGGGCCAUAGCUCAGCUGGGAGAGCGCCUGCCUUGCACGCAGGAGGUCAACGGUUCGAUCCCGUUUGGCUCCACCACUACUGCUUCUGAAAGUUUUGAAAGCUUAGAAAUGAGCAUUCCAUCCAAGCGAUGGUGAAUGUUGAUUUCUAGUCUUUGAUUAGAUCGUUCUUUAAAAAUUUGGGUAUGUGAUAGAAAGAUAGACUGAACGUUACUUUCACUGGUAACGGAUCAGGCUAAGGUAAAAUUUGUGAGUUCUCUUAAUUGAGAAAUUCGAAUUUUCGGCGAAUGUCGUCUUCACAGUAUAACCAGAUUGCUUGGGGUUAUAU
rnacentral:tRNA from 1 species